AAGCCAAAUAGAGCCAUAUUCUGUUCUGCCUGCUGGAUAGUUUAUUAUUAGGCGUGAUGAAAUGUAAAGUCUUACCUAACCCUUCCAGGAGAAUUACUGGCCCCCUUCUGGAUUUUCAAAGCUCUGAAGAUGUGAAUCUAGCACUCAUCGCUUAUACGUUGUGGACUUUGGUUUGCUGGGGGCAGGAAUCUCCCUUUCUGGAUGAAUUCAUGAUAAGCCAGCAAGAUCUAUCAGACAGGAAUGAAUCAUGGUUUGCUGGAAGCAAGAUCCAGGAGAAAGGUGAGGACACUGAGGCAAGAAGAAGCCAAGCAACUUGAUUAUCACCUCCAGGGCAUUUGGCUUCAGUGUUGGUUCUCUUGACCAUUACCUACUGAGAGCAACUCUAAUCACCUCACACCAUCCUGAGAUAGAUGGCCACAUGCUAGAGAACCUAACAGCUGGGCUUUACAGUAUCUGGAAGAUCUGCUUAUUUAUCAGAAAAACCGCAAUCUUACUGUAUGCCAUGGAAUACAAAAAGGUGAAAUUCUAAUGGUAUAAGGAAACAUCCUUUCAGACUUCAGUGCAUCGUCAUCUUUAAAUCAUAGGGUCAGCCUCAGCUGUGUGCACAGAAAUCUCUCUUCCUUUGGCUUCUUUGCUGCCUGCCUUUCCCUCCAUCUUUCUUUUGGCUGUGGGGAUCCUGUCCCUGUUCUUUAUAUCAGGCUAACCUGGUGAAGCUGUUCAGCCUCAGCUGUUCAUUCUGGAGAGCAGAAGUGAGCUAUUAGGUUUCUCAGAGUGGAGCACCCAUCAGAGAAGCAAACCUCUUUCUUGCUAAUGUAGAGCCACUUUCCCAGCAUAACUUCAAUGCAUUGAUAUGCUACCUAAAAGCACAAGCCAAUGAUUUCUCAAAACCAAACUUACUUGAAAGUUAACAGAGUUUAAAAGAAACUUAUUUUUAAUAUUUGAAAUCAUUUUUUUCAUGUGAUAGUUUAUCUGUCAUCUGUACUUCCAAAUGACUACUUUUAGGCCAUC
ensembl:lncRNA